GCUCUCUCAGAGAACACUUGUUUGAACAGAGUUACUUAUCAACACUGACAGGCCCCCUCUGAGAGAAGGGUGAGGAGCAGCUCCUUGUAGUUUGUAAAGAGCUGGCAGAGUAAUUAUUGAAGGAUUUGAGGUACUUCUGAAUCAACAACCUUUGGUACUUAGUUUGAAACGCAGCUGGCAAAGAGCCCAAAGAAUUCUGUUUUCAGUAGUGCUGCUGCAAGUCUGUUGAAUUACUUUAUGUUAUUGAAAGGAGAGCAGAAUGUGAGCAAAGAUUAUGGCCUAUUUCUGCUGAGUUUGCUGCUUUCAUCCUCAAAAGCAGUCACAGGAAUCAAUGGAAGUAUGGAAAUGACAUUUGAAAUGUGUAAACACGGCAGAAUGUGACUCCACUGAACUUGGAAGGACUCGAUAGUAUUUCUUACCCACCCAUCCUCAAAGAAAAUCUGAAUUUGCUUUCAAAUAGAGGAGGUAAAUAAGUAAAUUUUUCCCUGCAGCUGGCAGCAAAAUGGCAAUAUUAAUGUUGCUGUGUAUCGUUAUCUGCUGAAGG